rnacentral:rRNA from 1 species
AUUAAACGCUGGCGGCAUGCCUUACACAUGCAAGUCGAACGGCAGCACGGGGGCAACCUUGGUGGCGAGUGGCGAACGGGUGAGUAAAGCAUCGGAACGUGCCCUGGAGUGGGGGAUAACGUAGCGAAAGUUACGCUAAUACCGCAUAUUCUGUGAGCAGGAAAGCAGGGGAUCGCAAGACCUUGCGCUCUGGGAGCGGCCGAUGUCGGAUUAGCUAGUUGGUGGGGUAAAGGCCUACCAAGGCGACGAUCCGUAGCGGGUCUGAGAGGAUGAUCCGCCACACUGGGACUGAGACACGGCCCAGUGUGGCCGGUCACCCUCUCAGGCCGGCUACCCGUCGAAGCCUUGGUAGG